rnacentral:rRNA from 1 species
AUUGAACGCUGGCGGCAGGCCUAACACAUGCAAGUCGAGCGAGUGGCGGACGGGUGAGUAAUGUCUGGGGAACUGCCCGAUGGAGGGGGAUAACUACUGGAAACGGUGGCUAAUACCGCAUACCAUCGGAUGUACCCAGAUGGGAUUAGCUAGUAGGUGGGGUAAAGGCUCACCUAGGCGACGAUCCCUAGCUGGUCUGAGAGGAUGAUCAGCCACACUGGAACUGAGACACGGCCCAGACUCCUACGGGAGGCAGCAGUGGGGAAUAUUGCACAAUGGGCGCAAGCCUGAUGCAGCCAUGCCGCGUGUAUGAAGAAGGCCUUAGGGUUGUAAAGUACUUUCAGCGGGGAGGCGUUACCCGCAGAAGAAGCACCGGCUAACUCCGUGCCAGCAGCCGCGGUAAUAC